GUCGGCCAGUACGGUGGUUGGGGCAUCGGUUCACACUGCGGUGGUGGUGCCGGAUGGUACUGUGGUGGAGCAGGCUCGUGCCAGAAUGGCUCGGGAUCUACUUGCUGUAACGGUGGCUCAACCUGUGGUAGUGGAAGAGGUUCGGGUAACUCCCUUCUCUCCUUUCGACCUUGCUGGGUGGCCAUGAUCCUUUCCAGAAUCUCAAAUAUUCUGUCCACAUCUUCCCGAAGCGAAU
rnacentral:lncRNA from 1 species